rnacentral:rRNA from 1 species
AGCUUAAAGAAUUUAAUUUUAAGUAUCGUCUGCCCAGUGAUAGAAUUUAAUUUAACGGCCGCAGUACUUUGACUGUGCUAAGGUAGCAUAAUAAAUUGUCUUAUAAUUGAAGACUAGAAUAAAAGGCCUAAUGGGGUUAAGCUGUCUUAACUGCAAUACUUUAAAAUUACUUAAAAGGUGAAAAUUCCUUUAAAAAGAAAAAAGACGAGAAGACCCUUAGAAUUUAUAAAAAAAUUAAUUCUUUUAACUUUUUUUUGUUGGGGUAACAAAAUAGCAAAUAUUAAUCUAUUUUUAUUAUUAUAGACUAAACAUUAAUCUUAUUAAGGAUAAAUUACCUAAGGGAUAACAGCGUAAUUUCAUUAGGAGAUUGCGACCUCGAUGUUGGACUAGGGACCUAAUAGGGCAGAACUUUAAAGGGAGUGUUCUGUUCGAACAAGAAAACCCU